rnacentral:snRNA from 1 species
GUGCUCAUUUCAGCAGCACAUAUACUAAAAUUGGAAUGAUACGGAGAAGAUUAGCAUGGCCCCACACAAGGAUGACAUGCAGAUUUGUAAAGCAUUACAUAUUUAA